ACAGAGAAGAUUGCCAAACAUUUCUUUCAUGCCUUACCAGAUGAAUGUGUAACUAAAAAGAAGAAAGCUCCACAGGUGACUGAGAAGGAGCAAUCAGAAAGAUGACCACGAACUAGAAGCAAGUGAUUUCCUAGAAGAUGAGGUACCAGAGUUUUAAGAAUGAAGGUCUCCAAAUAAAGACUAGGGAGCUGGGUCCUGGAGCAGAGGAUCAAUUCCAGCUGUCACUCCUGGAGCCUGUCAUCUUCUCCCGCCUGGUCCAGUGUGGUACUCUUCUCUCUGCACUCCCGUUCCACCUGCACCUCCAUAUGCAAAGACAACCCUGGUGAUAUCGCUGGCCAACUAAAAAAACAGUAUUUAAAUUUGAUCAACUGAAUAAUUUCUUUCCUGUGGUACAUUGAUUUAUCGGUACCCACUACUUAGCCCCCCUUGCUGUGAGAUCACUCAUUCACAUCCAAUGCAAUGUGACUUUUAAUGCUCCCUGCAUUAGAAGUGUGUUCUUUGUCUUAUUGAUGGCGGAUUUGGCCAUAUGACUUGUUUCAGCCACUGGAAUGUGAGCAGAUGUGACAUAUAUCUUGCCUUUGGCAGAAGCUUCAAAAGCCAUUGUAUGUUUCUGCCAGUCGUUUUCCUUGAGAAACCAUGCUUCCCCAGUAGAAUGCGCCCCUUCAGCCGUGGACUCAGAAUAAGCUAAGACACGUGCAAUAGAACCGUAGCAGCUGAUCCGCGAUCACCAAUGUGUGAUGCAAAUGAGAAACAAAUGUCUGUCUUAAGCCACUGAAAUUUGGGGUUGGUUGCUACAACAACCAAAAUUAACCAAUAUAAAUCCCUCCCACCAGUUAGCCCCAAUCUCCUUGCCUGGGUUCAUGGUAUCACAACUGCACAUGCACCCUACAUUACGGCCAGUCUAGGAGCAUCUCCACUUCUCAGUCUCCUUGUUUCUGCCUGUAUUACUCUCCUAGCUCAAACUAUCUUUCCACAGUCUUUGCAAACCUCAUCUUAAAGAUUCUUCCAGCUAGCUCAAAAUCUAUCUCAUAUGUGAAAUUUUUCUGAAUGUCUUGCUUUGAAGUGAUUUUUUCCUUCCUCCCUCUGAAUUGCAACAAGCAUUCCAUGUUUAUGCUACCCAGCACUCUCUUUAAUAAGAAGAAGUGAUGUUUAUGAUGUUUAUUGAGCACAUACUUUAUAGAUUUGACGCUGGUCUUUAACCAACUGUGUUAGUUUGGAUACAUUAGGAUUAGAUGAAAUGAAAGGUUAAUUGUGAGUGAAAAGCCUGUGAAAGAUAAAAGGGGAGGGAGGAGCAGAAAGCGGCAGGAGCCUUCCUACCACAAUGAUGGUCUGACACUGUGGAGGAAGAGAAGGAGGAAGGAGGAUUGGUCUCAUGCUGCAGUAUAAUUCCCAGAAAUGUCCUGCCAAGCCAAUGAGAGUCUUCAAGCCAAAGUCUUCAUCUUUUCGAGAGUCCCCCAUCUCAUAGAAAUGACCUACAUUGGUACCCUCACCAUGGUUGGUCAUUGACUGAGAUCAGCCCUGUGGGAAUAUGGCAGUACAUCCAAAAGAAUAGUAACUGGGCUUGUUCAUCAGUUAUGCUCCCAAAAUGUGAAAUCUGAGCAAUUCUUUCUCAUAGACAUUAUGUCAACAUUAGUUUAUCAAAUCUUCACAAAAAUGCUAUGAGGUCAAGACUGCUAUCAUUCCUCUUUGAGAGUAAAAAAACUGAGGCCUGAGGAGAUUAAGUGACCUUGUCACCAUCAGUCAGCUAGCAAUGGGAAGGAGCCUGACUGGUGCCCUAAACUAUCAUGGGACUUUAACUCCAGGCAUUUAUUGGGUGGAUGAGGAAAUGCACCUUGAUGUCACCUGUGAGAAGGUGAAAAUCUGAGAUGAUAGUAAUCAAUGCCACUCUGGUUUUAUUGGACCCAGAAGUGCACAGUCCUUCCCCCAGCUAUCAUGAUACACAAGCUUUAUCCUUGUCUGUGAGUUAAAGAACAGAACUGGAUGUGUUUUCAGAAGAUUAUUUGCUUUUCUGAUAGAAUAUUCAGAAAUAUUUUAUGAAUAAAACAGCUCAUUAGAAAUGAUUCCUAAAACCCCAAGGAAACAAAGCUCUUUUUCCCGUCAUUCCUGAGCCAUUAAUUCCAGUCCAUUUCCUGCUGAGUCUAAUAGACAAUGUGUUGUUAAUCUUACAGUCUGUUACAUCAUGCCUGUUCUUUUGGUCUUAUGAAUGCAAACUUCAUUUUCUCCUUAGAAAUCAUUUUCUUGUUCUGUGACUGUGUUUCCCUUCAGUGUGAAGUUGCAAAUGAUCUUGCUGAGAGAAGCAAACAAAGACAGACUCAGAUAGACCGUUUUUAUUUUGACGGGAGACCUAAACUACUUCCCUUCACCUCAAAAAACAAAAACAAAUAAAGAAAAGAAAACAGAAGAAAUUUUAGGAUUUGGGUAAAUAAACCAUUACAUCCUAUCACCCUAUAAACCAAGCACUUCCCCUUUCCCUUUCUCAUGAGUCCACUUUAAGAAAAUAAAAACUAAAAAACCCAAACAUAGAUAAAUAGAUAUACAGAUAGAUAAGAAUAUAUCUCUAUAUGAUAUGUGUGUGUGUGUGUGUGUGUGUGUGUGUGCAUGUGUAUAAUAGUCUUCUUUCUGCUGCAGUGUGGGGUAUAGAGAAUGCUGGCAUAGUGAGAUCAAAACACUUUCUAGGCUGAACAUACCUGCAAGAAUAUUUUUCAAGGAAAAACUAGAAGACACCAAACAAGCAACCAAUCAGCCUCCUAAAUCCUCCAAAGUUUUUUCUAUUUAUUACUGUUCCCCAGAUCACAGUGUAUGGGGAUUUUACUUUUAAGCUUAGUGUCAAGACCUGACCCAGACAGCACAGUGGGAGUGGUAUCAACUACCUUACAAGCACCUUUGACUGGUGCAAUAAACAAGCCUAGUUGUCAGGCCUAUAAUUAAAGGACAUUUUACCCCACUGCUACUUUAAGAUCAAUUCACUGGGUAAUGUUCAUUGUUGUUGUUGUUGUUUUUUUUUUUUCCUGCCUUUGGAAGAAAACUAGGAAGCACCUUGACAUUUCUGGCCAUUCUUAUUUUAUAAAAAGAGAUUGCAAAUUCCUUAAGUUACAAAACAUGGUCUUAUUUCAGAAAGUAAGAUCUUUAGCCAUACUACAUUAAUUAACACUGCAAUUUGCAUUCAAAAAUAUGACUCAUCAUCCAUUUGCCAGAGCUGGCACUGGACAAGUCUGUCUGAUGAAAGAGGUGUCAUGGGCUUCUAGCUUCCUUGGCAACCUUUCCUGCCACUCCACUGCUGUUCUUUCUGACUCUGGGGCUAAAGAACAGAAAAGACAGAUAAAGGGGACCAGAAAAACUUACUUAACCACCAUGCCUGUACAUGGCUUCUUGUUCUCAGAGCCUCUCAGAUAUUCUGCUAGGACUCCCAACCUGCUUGGCCCCUCAGAAAGUAUCAGACAACAGCUCUCUUCACCUUUGGCCUAUUGUUCAUCCCCCUCGCCUUCAGAUUUCUACUGCUUCGUUUUAUACAGAUCCUCUCAGUAAGGAUCCCCUUGUCCCCAGGCAGAAAUUCUUUUAGGGCUCUUUUUAGGAUCCCAUAUAAAAAGGCCCCAGGCUGGCAUUCCUCCACCUGGCCCUUGGCAUUAUAUAUCUUGGCUUGCAGUUGGAGGGAAUAAAGUUAGCCCUAGCUGCAGCUCCCUCUGCUCCCAUGGAACACCAGAGGGUGUCUUGCUCUGACAUGUGUCAGAGAAACUUCCCAAACUCAGGCAACAAAAGCAGAUCCUCUAUGUCCUCUCCUUUGAAACCCCGGUAGCUAGUGAGAAACCACAUCUCAGCCCUGCCUACCCCCCGGUGUGGGAGGGUGGAACUCACAGUCCCUCUCUAUCUCAAGUGAUUCUCCUCCAGCUUCCUUUCAGUUUACCAUCUGGGGAAUCUCUAUAUCCUUGAAGUGGGUGGCAGGCCCGAAAUAUGUAACUGGUUCCUAGGGAUUUACUUGGAAGACUACAUCUUGAUUGACUAUGUCUUGAUUGAAGGUCUCUCCACUAGAUAUUUGACAUUGCUUAUUUGGCAUUUUAGUUGAAUCUUCCAUUACUAUUAUGUAUCAACUCCUUUCAACGUUCUCUGCUUCUUCUAGUAUCUUCUGUGGAAAUUUCCAUGUUCUUAUAUUGCACGCUUGGUAAAAUACGUCACCUUCCUGGGGCUCAGCUUUUGUUCAUUCUCCUCACCCCUUUUGACAUUCAACAUGGCCCAGUCCUCCCCAUCCCUUAACUCCUCAUAUUGGAGAUUUGGGACUUCCAUCCUGAGAGCCCUGGUCUUUGUCAAGCAAGUUGUGAAUGUACUGCUAUUGCACUGUUGCUCCAUACUGCAUGGAGGCAUUUCAAAAUACUACUUGGACUCAGUUUUUUAAAUUUGUGGAUGCUUUGCUGUUUUUUUUGUUGUUCUUACUUUUUAGCAAAGCCCCUUUUACAAAAUAAAUAUUUCAAUCCAUUUGUUGGCAAAUGUUUCAAACAAAUUCACAAUGAGUAAAUGAGGAUAAAGCCAGAGUGGGGUCCCAGAGAGCGGGAUCCCAGAGGCUGCCCAUUUGGUUCCUUCCACAGACCCAAACGCUUUAAGAAACACAGUUGGAAAAAAAAUCUCUACUUUAAAAGAUGAAGUGACUUUUGAAAUGGGAGCAAAGCAUAGAGGGUUGAUUUUACCAAGGAAUGUGUACCCCAAAGCACUUCAGAAGCCAACUCUAUAUGAAAACUAGUGACUCUAAUGGCCCCAGCCCUGAUUCCCUGCUUCCUUCUGGCAUGAUCAGCUUCUAAAUGCCACCUCUUGGAGAGACCUCAAUGUGCCUUGGAAUUCAGUUUAUUUAUUUCUCUAAAAUCUGAGCUUCUGAAAUGAGAUCCCUAUGAAGAAACUCAUAAAAGCAAAAGGCCUCUUUUCUUUAAAAAAAAACAAAAACAAAACAAAACAGAAAACAAAAACAAAACCCAAUAGCUCUAAAAACUUUAUUCUGUGGAUUAUGAUGUUGAUGGCAUUUUAAUGCCGUUCCUUAAAUCCCUAAACCCUAGGAACCACUGAGACUUUAAUAGACUAAUCAUGCUUCAGGCCUUUUGAACUUUGAUUGCCAACCACCGUUAUUGCUUUGAGUUUUCCAAAGGAGAGCCAACAUUUCCCUUUACCCUUCUCACACUGUUUUUUUCCUAUAAAUGUACUAACACUGUGAUAUCGAGGUCAUCUGGCCAAUAUAGAGGAAUGACUCUUACUCUUUCACUGUCCCACCCCCUAGCCUAGAGGGUGUUUUAAGAUUCUCACACAUAUUCAGAUCUCUCACUCAGGCAUGUGGAGAGAGUCCAAUGUUGACUCCUUGGGGAAUGAUUUGCAGGAUGACGCUAACUUCUGUUUGGGUGAACAGAAGGAUUUAUAAAGAGGAGAGGGGAAAGAUUCAGAAGCAAUGCUGAACGAACAUAAUCUCUUUCUCCUCCACAAUAUUUCCUUACUGGUGACCCCAUAAGUGUUUGUAUUUGCAAUACAGGACUCCAAGGACCCCGCAGUAGUGAAUAAGACAUGCUAGCAUAAUCUUGACAGGCCAUGCACUAGUCAUGAUUAGAGUCUGAAAGUCAUGGACCCACAAAAAUUUUGGACUGAUUAUUUUGCAUUGCCUGCACUUUAUCCCUGGGAGGGACUAUACCUGGAGCUGAGCAGGGGGCCAAGGAGAAAGCCUGUAGGGGCAUCUGGUGUGCUUUCCUUGUAGCCUGGGGUCCUUGAUUAUUGAGAGUCUAAAGAGGGCUGAGAUUCUAGGAGCUUGACUGUAGGAAUGCUAUACACCAGCUGUGAAAAACACUCUCAGGACCUACUCCUGACAUCAGGAAUAUCAAGUACCCUCUGUAUCAACUGAAAAUGUUGAAAACAGUUAUUACCUUGAAUAAUAAAUUGUUGCCAUUUUUGCUUAAAACUUGUUUCAAAAGAAUGUUGAACUAAAGGAUAGAUAUCUAAUGAUUAACAUCUACUAAUUAGUGUCCUGAAGCCAGAAAGGGAGUAACCAAAACUCUAACUACAAAAGUUACGUCAUCCAUGAACACCUCUGGACCACUCUGACCCUUUUUCCUUCUUUGAUAUCCGUAGUUCACACAUGCAAUUUGACACUGAAGCGUGUAUUACCUUACACAGUGAAUGAUUGUUUUAUACGUCUGUUUAACAAAAAUGUGUUAAAAUUUUAAAACCCCAUGCAAAGUUUUCUGGCUCAGCACUGGACACACAGGAUAGGUUCUCAGAAAAUCUUGGUUUGUUGGUUAGUUGUUAGCAAAUCACAGGGAUUGUCAAAUGCAUUCAAGAGGCUGAUGGCUAAAACUUGGUCUGCUUCUACUUAUUGCUGACAGCGACCACAAAAGCAAAUCGGAGUGCAUUGUACACAAAUAUUUGAAGAGUUGUCAGUUUCAUUGCAUUCCUGACAAAGAAGAAUAAUCUGUGGAAAAUGCUUAAACCUAACUUGUAUAUUAAUUUGACUAAGUUUUCCUUCCUUGUCAAUGAGGAAAAAAAAAAAAAAAGCCCCAAACAUUUGUGUGCCUACAGCAUUCUCACUGCAAUAAAACAUAAAACUUAAUAUACACCUUGGAGCAUUCACAUCCCAGAUCUGCCAUUUAUUGGUUGUGGCAUUGAAGAAUUAUUUGAAUUCUGAUUUUCUUUUUCUUUUUUUUUUUUUUUAAAUUCUGAUUGUCUUGUCUCAGUUCUUUCUUUUCUCCUGUCCUCUGACCGUAACCAUAAAAUUGUUGUAGGAUGACUAGAUAGCAUGGAGCUUAAAUCUCACACUGUAUACUAUUCUAGAGACUAACCUCUGAUGUAAUGCAAAACACAUCUGUAGAUAUACACACAUCAUAUCCAGAUAGAGGAUGACAGAUGAGAGAGGAUAGAUAGUUGGGUAGGUAAUUUUAACUACUCUCUUAAGAAGUUAGAUUAUGCCAAAGGAAAGACUCACCUACAACCCAAAUUUGGGUGGGUUUAAGUGUACCAUUGGGGGUAUAGACUUGGAAUAAAACAGUGAUAUUUGUAAAAAUGGGAGAAGCAUAGAAAUGUUGGGGCAGGAAGGAGACCUGGGAGGGAGGACAGCUGGAUGAUCACAGUGGAGCACGCCAUAGAUGGAGGAAUAGAGCUAAACCCUCAUGGGUAGAGUGAAUCAGAAGGAAUUUCAAAGACAAAAAUUACUAAGGAGUUUUGAAUUCAUUUGCCAUGAGAUAUGUCAGCAUCUGUCUCCCUGUGUGUCACCCUCAUAUCUUUUAUAAAAGCCAAAUUGCUCACUGAGGCUUAUCUGUGAAAGUUCUUUUUUGGGGGUUGGGGGUGGUGGUGGUGGAAUAUUUAUCAGAGGAUAAGCCUAACUUUUAAAAAUCUCUAAAAUAGUAACAAUAGCGGGGUUAGAGAAAGCAUCAAAUGAGCUAAUGCUUGUGAAAUGCCAUCAUGUAAUAUGCAAUUAUUUUUAAAUUAUUUUAAAUACAUUGCGAAUUGAUUUAUUUAUAAUUUCAUAGCUGCUUGUGAUUUCGUAAUUACCGUUGAUUAGAAUUGCUUUUGUGUUGCAAUUUAGUAAGUUGAUACAGGCUUUGGAGUCAGACAAACCUGGGUUUAAGUCCUGCUUACUCCUUUCAGUGUGCAUUUGGACAAAUGACUUCUCUUUUUUUUUAUUUGUAAAAUGAGGAUUAUAACUACAUCAUACUGACAUGGUGCAGGGGGAAAGGCUGAUGAGACAACAUUCUAACACUGUAUUACUCGGGGUUCUCAAAGGAAAGAGAUGACACAAUCAAAUGGGGGUAAUUUGGAAAGAGUUUAAGAAAGGGAUGAAAUAUAAGGUGGUAGGUAAGCCACAGGGAAAGUGGCAUAAUGGCUAGUACUGUAUCCUUAGGCUAGCCAAAGACCACACCCCUCAUCCAACCCACCCCUCCAAGACCAGAAAGUCAGGGUAAGGAAUGGAAUCCAGACGGACAGCUAUAUGGAACAGUGGAUAAGGGAGCUGCUGGAUAUGACCCAUAAUGAUCAGUAUCUCUGAGCCACAGUGGAGGUGGGGGGCAGGAUGCAGUGGACAUGGGAAGUAUCCAGCACAGAAAUGAUUAUCAAAGUGCCUGAUUGUAUAUAUUAGACAGAAUGUGAUAUGUAGGGUUUUUGAUCUUGAAACUAUAGCUUUGUAUCUGUGACCCAAGAAAUCAAGAGUGUUUGCCUUUAUAUGCCUAGUGAAAUCAUUGUGAUUAAAAUAUUGGUUCUUGCCAAUUCA